rnacentral:rRNA from 1 species
AUUGAACGCUGGCGGCAGGCUUAACACAUGCAAGUCGAACGAGUGGCGGACGGGUGAGUAAUGCCUGGGAAUCUAGCUUUUGGAGGGGGAUAACUACGGGAAACUGUAGCUAAUACCCCGUACCAUAAGAUGGGCCCAAGUGGGAUUCGGUUGUUGUUGGGGUAAAGGCUAACCAAGCCGACGAUCUCUAGGUGGUCUGAGAGGAUGACGAGCCACACUGGGACUGAGACAGGGCCCAGACGCCGACGGGAGGAAGCAGUGGGGAAUAUUGCGCAAUGGGGGAAAUCUGACGCAGCCAUGCCGCGUGAAUGAAGAAGGCCUUCGGGUUGUAAAGUUCUUUCGGUAGCGAGGCGUUAACUACAGAAGAAGCACCGGCUAACUCCGUGCCAGCAGCCGCGGUAAUAC